rnacentral:rRNA from 1 species
GACGUAGGGUGCAAGCGUUGUCCGGAUUUAUUGGGCGUAAAGAGCUCGUAGGCGGCCUGUUGCGUCGAUUGUGAAAUCCCGGAGCUCAACUCCGGGUCUGCAGUCGAUACGGGCAGGCUAGAGGCAGGUAGGGGAGAGUGGAAUUCCUGGUGUAGCGGUGGAAUGCGCAGAUAUCAGGAGGAACACCGGUGGCGAAGGCGGCUCUCUGGGCCUGACCUGACGCUGAGGAGCGAAAGCGUGGGGAGCGAAC